rnacentral:rRNA from 1 species
GAUGAACGCUGGCGGCGUGCCUAAUACAUGCAAGUCGAGCGAACAGACGAGGAGCUUGCUCCUCUGACGUUAGCGGCGGACGGGUGAGUAACACGUGUAUAACCUACCUAUAAGACUGGGAUAACUUCGGGAAACCGGAUCUAAUACCGUAUAAUAUAUUGAACCGCAUGGUUCAAUAGUAAAAUACGGUUUUUCUGUCACUUAUAGAUGGAUCCGCGCCGCAUGAGCUAGUUGGUAAGGUAACAGCUUACCAAGGCAACGAUGCGUAUCCGACCGGAGAGGGGGGUAGGCCACCCUGGAACUGGGACACGGUCAAGACUCCUGAGGGAGGCAGCAGUAGGGAACGUGCCGCAAUAGGCGAGAGCAUGACGGAGCAACGGCGAGUGAGUGAUGACGGCCUUCGGAGCGUAAAACUCUGUUAUUAGGGAAGAACAACUGUGUAAGUAGCUAUGCACGUCUUGACGGUACCUAAUCAGAAAGCAACGGCUAACUACGUG